rnacentral:rRNA from 1 species
AUGUCCGACUUGGGAUUGCCGUCAGACAUGGACCAUGAUCUGCGGGAGGAGGAGAAGACGGAGUCCUGUGGCCAAAACGGCGAAUCACAACCGUGUGGAACUGGGCGUGACGACGUCUAUCUAGAGGACAUGUUCGCAGAUCAUUGUGCCGUCAGCUGCCACUAUGAAACUGAAUAUGAUAUCUUUGGUGCCCGGCCGCUCACGGGCGAUCCACUUCUCUGGGAUGACAUCCGCUCAGAGAACAGCGACGAUUAUGUUGUGCAGGAGGAUGAAGAAUGCGCUAAGCUUGCAGACGUGGAGACAAAUUGCCCAGGGAGAAACAUCCCCUUGCAGCUAGGAAAGAAAAUCGACAACGCGUGGAUAAGGAGUAUGGUGGAACAGAACGACAAAUACGACGCGCGGUGCCAGGAGAUUCUGCGCCAGGACGAGGAUUCUGAUCUCCCUCCUGUUCCUUUAGAUGUGUUCCCUGAGGCAACAGGUUUAUGCGUCCAAAGGGGUCGCUGCUACCACAUUGAAUACAGGACCCAUGAUACUUCCACCACUGAUUCAGAUCUUGGAUAUGCCGAACCAGAAAUGAUGCUACAGAUAUUCUUUCUGCGCUUAUCAAGCUUCUCUGUGUCCUAUUCCUGCCCCAUCAGUGUAUAUGGAGUAUUCGCUGUUCGGGAUGUAGUGGAGCCACUGCGAAACCAUGUCUUCAACCGUUCCAGAGAUGACCCUGUCACGGUUGACCAGUUCCAGUGCAUCAUCUCGUGA